UGCGCAGGGCGUGUUUCAUCACGAUGUUGGGGAAGCUCACGCCCUUCAGCCGCGCGGUGCGGAUGUAUUGGGCCGUCAUCACCUCGGUCAUCGAGGCCCGCGUCAUCCGCGCGAUGUAGCCCACGCCGUAGAGCGCGAUCGUCACCACCGGCAGGAAGAAGUUCUCGAAGGUGGCGUUG
rnacentral:ncRNA from 1 species